GACGAACGCUGGCGGUGUGCUUCACACAUGCAAGUCGAACGGAGUAGCAAUACUCAGUGGCGGACGGGUGAGUAACACGUGGGAAUCUACCAUUAGAUGGGGAAUAACAGGCCGAAAGGACUGCUAAUGCCGCAUAUGUAUUAACCUCGACAGGGGUGAAUAUGAAAGGAGUAAUCCGUCUGAUGAUGAGCCCGCGUCCGAUUAGCUAGUUGGUAAGGUAAAGGCUUACCAAGGCGACGAUCGGUAGGUGGUCUGAGAGGAUGAUCACCCACAAUGGGAACUAGAGACACGGCCCAUACUCCUACGGAGGCAGCAGUGGGAAUUUUACGCAAUGGCGAAAGCCUGACGUAGCGACACCGCGUGAGCGAAGAAGCCCCUUGGGGUGUAAAGCUCUGUCAGCUGGAACGAAAAAAAAAUGACGGUACC
rnacentral:rRNA from 1 species